rnacentral:rRNA from 1 species
CCUACGGGAGGCAGCAGUGGGGAAUAUUGCACAAUGGGGGAAACCCUGAUGCAGCGACGCCGCGUGAGUGAAGAAGUAAUUCGUUAUGUAAAGCUCUAUCAGCAGGGAAGAAAAUGACGGUACCUGAGUAAGAAGCCCCGGCUAACUACGGUCCAGCAGCCGCGGUAAGACGUAGGGGGCAAGCGUUAUCCGGAUUUACUGGGUGUAAAGGGAGCGUAGACGGCAGUGCAAGUCUGGAGUGAAAGGCGGGGGCUCAACCCCCGGACUGCUCUGGAAACUGUACGGCUGGAGUGCAGGAGAGGUAAGUGGAAUUCCUAGUGUAGCGGUGAAAUGCGUAGAUAUUAGGAGGAACACCAGUGGCGAAGGCGGCUUACUGGACUGUAACUGACGUUGAGGCUCGAAAGCGUGGGGAGCAAACAGGAUUAGAUACCCUGGUAGUC